rnacentral:lncRNA from 1 species
GAUCGACAUAUGAGAUUCUGUAAGAACUUCCGGUCGUCGGUGAGUUCGCCGCCGUCAAAUCCAACGGAAGAACUCAUCUCCGCCGUGAAACAGCUUCUUUUCAGAAGUUUGGAUUCUCCAAGAGCCGGCGAGAUCCACCACCACCACCGUUGAACCGGAAAAUUCAAACUGCUACCGGUUUAUCUUCAUCAUCUUCAUUUGUUCGAUUGAAGAACUUUCGUUUUAGCUUUUAGAUGAUUGAUCGAUUAUCAGUUAUUAGGUAUAAGCAAUUACGAGGAUCAAGCUUCAAAAUUCCAUAGUUUUGUGAAGUUAGAGUUAUGAAACCUAAUUUAAGCUUUGAUAUCCUGAAAAUUUCCAUGGAUAUUAAGUAUUAAAUGAGGAAUAAAUUUCUUGUUUAUUGAUCACAUAACCAUUUCCUUUUGCAUAAAAUCAUAAUUUACUCAUUGUUUAGUAAAAUUUGGACUUUUUUUGUAUACUAAUGUCUAAUUCUUGUGGCCUUAAAAGUUUCUUGAUAUCUAUUAUUCCUUUGUGUGAAAAGGAAAAGAAAAUAAAGGGAGUUUGUUACACUUGAUGGAAAGUUUGAUAUUAUUUGCUAUAAUGUCCUUUCACAAGUUGUUGUAUUGGAAGUUUGUUGAUGAUGGCUUUUUGGCAUAUAUAUGUUGGAGGAUUUUUGUUUAUUGAGUUAUUUUUAAAUAUGAAAUGUCAUUUUAUGUUCUUAAUUAUAUUAAAUGAAUGUGUUGAUCUUCAAUUUGAGAAUUUUUUUUUUUUUGAAUUUCUUUUGUUGAAAAAAUGUUGUAAGUUAAAGGAUGCUUGUUUUAGUAUACUUUGUACAUUUUUGUACACAUUGAUAAGUGUGAAUAGAUAGCAUUUAUUUAUUUAUUUGUGAUAAUGUUCAAAGGUUAAAAGAUGUUGUGAACUUGUGAUAACUGAUAAGCAUGUGAACAUAUAUAGCUUGUAUUGUUUUGUAUUGUUUUCGUUCGAGGUUCUUCUUAUCGUACCACCUCUCACAAUGAUAAGAAUUGUUGAUUUUUGCAUUUUUUUUUUGUUAUUUUAAUGUGGAUCAGUGGAUGAUACUAUUUAUAUAUUUUAUUGUUAGUUGUCAUUGUGUUUUAUAAGACUAUUUAAAUCAAUACACUAGGCAAGUUAAUAAGAAGCCUAAUCAAUAAGAGUUCCACGAAAUAAUUUUGUUUAAUCUGUUAUAUUUAAUUAUUAUUUGUUAAAUCUUAUUUAUACUAGAAUAGUGUUAAAAAAAAAAAAAAAAACUUUUUUUGGGUUUAUAUUAUAUUAUUCUCCGAAAUAUAUCUGAUCAAUCGUAAUUUAAUAUAUAUAUGUUGGUUUAACUGUGGAUUUGUUAGUUAAAGUAAAUAUAUUGAUAAAAUAAAAAAAAAAAUUAAAAUUCAAUACUAGAAUAUAAUGAAAUAUAGAAAAUAAAAAAAAAAUUUAUGAAAACACACUGGAGAAAAGGUAUAAAAUAUGAUCAUCAAUGUAAAAUGAUAUUGUAUUUUAAUAAAGUAAAAUUUUAAAGUAUUAUAGUAAAAUAGCAUAAGUUUGAAGCGUUUUGUUAAAAGUGUUCUAACACACGUCUAUGUUAAUAUUAAACGAGAUCACGAAACCACACAUUUAUAUUCAAAUGAUUUUUCGAAUACAAAUUCUCAUAAAGUCAAUAUUGCAUGUAAAUACAAAUAUUUGGCAAUACAAAUUAAUCAUAACUUUUAUUGAUCAAUGUUAGCUAAAAAAAUCUUGAUAAAUUAAUAUUUUUAAAAUUAAGCACACAAUUGAAUAAGUUAUUUGAAUUUUCACAAAGAUUUAGUUUGAACAUAUUAACUAUGUUGAAAUCAACAUUUUACCUAAGUCAACUAAACCCUUAAAAUAAUCACUCCAUACCAAGAUUAGCUUAAUCGAAGAAAGCUUAGUCCAAUAGAAACUUGUUUAGCAAAAUAACCUAUUAAAAACCUAGACUUAAUUUUGUGUUCUAUUCAUGUUUAUUUUUCUUUCCUCUGCUGUAGUCAAAAUCACCGGAACAAAACACUCUUUGGUUUUUUAAAUUUCAAAUUGAUAACAUUUUUCUUAAAUAAAUUAAAUGGGAAUGAAGGGGAAUGACACUUGUCAAUCAAUGAGAAAAGAUUUGGCACAUAGAGAUUUUUAUUUAUCAGUUUAAUCCAAUUGAAUAAAACUUAUCACAAUAGAAACUUGUAUAGCUAGGGAUGAGCAUAGGCGGGUACCCGCCUCAUUUGGCGAGAACCGGAACCGGCGGCUACUAGAAAGUUAGAACCAGAACCGGAACCGCUCUAGGCAGUUCUUAAAUGUUUGGAACCAGUCGUGGAACCGGCGGUUCCGGUUCCGGGAACGGGUAACCCGGUUACAUUAAUUUUGUUAACUUUUGUCGAUAAAACCGCAAUUUAGUUCGAUUCAAAUCAAGUCAAUUCGGACCAAAGACGAACAAAACCGGACCAAUAUAUAUUCUAAAUUGGUCUAAGUAACACACAUAUUUAUAUGAGAUAAGGCCUUUUAAAAACCCUUACUCAAUUUGCCCUAUUCGUGUUUAUCUUUCUUCUCUCUGUUGUUGUAUCCAAAAUAAAAAUAAAUAAAUAAAUAAAAACAUUCUCUUCAAUUUUUUAAUUUCAAAUUGAUAACAUAUUUUGAUAAUUACAUUUUUUAAAUAAAUUAAAUGAGAAUUAAGGGGAAAGAUGACACCUGCCAAUCAAUGAGAAAACAUUACUAAUAUUCUAGAAAGGUAUCAGUUGACACAUAGGAAUUUUUUUGGUGGUGGGGACUGAAAUGGAAAAAGAAUAUUACAAAAACCAAGAUUAAGGUUCUAUCCUUAUAACUCAAUUGUCAGAUGCGUCUACUCUUGAGUUUUAAGAAACCAAAGGAACGAUCACCAACUUUGUUCGAUUGCAAUUCACGAUCUUUAGCAGAAACAUGCUCAAGAUUCCAAAAGAAAAAGCAAGUUAACCAAUAAUAGGGUCAUCAGAUUCAAGAAAAAAAACAUAUUAUUAUUAUGUCAAAGUGAACUCACUCAUAUAGUUUUCUCCAUGGAACGUAUUUUAUUAAAUAUUUCAGUCACAUCUUAGGAUCGAAAUUGAGAACUGAAAUAAGCUCAAAUUCAAUCUCCACUUCACAUUUUGAUCAACAUUAAAACAUGAAAAUAAAUUUUUUCAUGUAAAGGUUAUUUAGUUUUUCGUUUUAUAUAAACUAUUUAUAGAAACAGAUUGAAUCAAGCACAUGUUAAUAAUGUGUGAUCUUGUAUAUUUAUAAUUAAGAAUACAACAUACUCUCCUAUAAUCAUGGAGAGAUAAAGAUAUAAACAAAUACAUACUAAUUAAUACAAGAUAAUUAUCAAAUACAAGAUCAUUAUCUAUAUGUAGAACGACGUGUUUCCAAACAUUUGGCCCAGUCGGCAUCGGAGUAACCAAGAAUAUUAGUGGAGUGAGGACGACUAUAGGUGAGUCCAAAAGCAAUACUUCCCUUGACAUAGCGAAGGAUAAGUUUGACGGAUUGGAAGUGAGCAAUCGUAGGAGCAUGUAAGUACUGACUUGCUUAGUUGACAGCAUAAGACAGAUCAGGUCGUGUAAUCGUAAGAUAUUGUAGAGCCCCAACAAGAGACCUAUAAAGAGUAGGAUCAGAGAACGGAGUACCAUGAGGAGUGAACGUCUCAUGAGUAGCAAGUGGAGUGGGAAUAGGUUUGGACUCUAGAAGGUCAGCGCGAGUCAAAAUGUCUUUAGCAUAUUUCGAUUGAUUGAGGAAUAAACCAUCAUCGAUAUAGCUGACUUCUAACCCCAAAAAAUAACUAAGAUCGCCAAGGUCUUUGAUAGCAAACUCUUGAUGCAAACGAUUAGUAAAAGAAUGAAUCACAGAUUCCUGAUUACCUGUAAGAAUUAAAUAAUCCACGUAUACUAGAAGAUACAUAAGACAUGAGUCUCUAGAAAAAAUGAACAAAGAUGUGUCAGCUCGACUGCAAGUAAACCCAUUGGCAAGAAGAAAAGAGCUAAGUCGAUGAAACCAUGCUCUAGGAGCUUGUUUUAAGCCAUAUAAAGCUUUCGAAAGUUUGCAUACAUGAUUCGGAAAACUAAAAUUAACAAAUCCUGGUGGUUGCUCCAUAUAAACUGUUUCAUUUAGAUGACCAUGUAGAAAAGCGCUUUUAACAUCUAGUUGAUGAAGACGCCAUCGAUGCAAAACAGCUAAAGAUAGUACAAUUCUAAUAGUGGAGGCUUUAGCUACCGGGCUAAAAGUAUAGGAGUAAUCAACUCCAUGAAGUUGAGAAAACCCUUGAGCAACAAGACGUGCUUUAUACCGUUCAAUAGAGCCAUCAUAGUUGUAUUUUAUACGAUAAACCCACUUGGAACCAACCACAUUAGAUCCAAGAGGUCGUGGAACUAAACUCCAAGUUUUGUUUUGAUGUAGAGCUGCAAUUUCAUCACGCAUUGCCAUAAGCCAUUGUGGAUUUUUAAAAGCAGACUUGUAUCCUUUGGGUUCUUUUGUAGAAAUCAGCGAGGCAUGUAAGGCAUGCUGAGCAAGGAGACCAAAAUCAGUAAUAUGGCGUGGCUUGAAUAUACCUGAUUUGGAAUGGGUAAUCAUAUGAUGAGAUGCCGGUGGAGAAGUGUGUAGGUUGUCUGUGGUAGAGGCUGGUGAGAAGACAAGUUGUCAUCAUCAGUCGUGUUGGAUGGGGAAUCGGAAGUAGGUGAUGGAUCCUCAGCAGAUGGUGAAUUGAGAUGCAACAUGGUUGCUGGAGCCCCAGAAGUGGAGUCACACAGUUGACACGGAGUAGGCUGAACAGGCUCGUUAAGAGCAAAGGUGGACCGAGCAUUCGUGGGUUUUGAAACCAGCCCAGACGAGGUAGCAACAGUCGGCCUAUCAUCCAAAAAAGAUGACAACUCUAAAAAUGAUAGAUCUGUGUGAGGAAGAGAACCUUUGAUGGGAUAAGCGACCUCAUUAAACCUUGCAUGCCUUGUGAUGUACACACGAGACGUAACCGGGUCCAAGCAUUUGUAUCCUUUAUAUUGAGUUUGAUAACCAAUAAAAACACAAGGAAAACUCUGUGGUGCCAAUUUGUGACCAGAGUAAUCUCGUAAAUAAGGAUACACAAGGCAACCAUAAGUUUUGAAAUUACCAUAUUGUGGUAUGCGUGAAUAGAGAAGCUCGUAAGGAGACCGAUUGUCCAGCUGUUUAGUGGGUAGGCGAUUAAUAAUAAAGACUGCAGAACUAAACGCAUCAACCCAAUAAGAUGUGGGAACGUGAGAAUUGAACAACAUAGCUAACCCGGUUUCAACAAGAUGCCUAUGUUUUCGUUCAGCACGACCAUUUUGCUAAGGAGUGUAUGGGCAAGAAAUUUGAUGAAAUAUUCCAUUGUCUUCAAAAAUUUUGCGAACAGUGUUAUUGACAAAUCCUGUACCACCGUCACUUUGAAACACCUUGAUGUUCCUAGAAAACUGUGUUUGAACAAGUUUAACAAAGGCGUUUAAGACAGCAUAAAACCCAUUUUUAGUUUUUAAGGGAUAAAACUAGGUGAAGCGUGAGUAAUCAUCAACAAAAAUAACAUAAUAAAGGUACCCAUCAGACAGAAUAGGAGCAGGUCCCCAUAAAUCACAAUGAACGAGAUCUAAAGUGUGUGUUGCACGUUUCGGAUUGUUUUCAGAAGGUAAACAUUGUCCCUUUGAAAGUUGGCAAGAUUCACAUAAAAUAGGUUUUGGUAAAAUAGAAGUAACAUUCAAAAAACCCAAUCUAUUCAAAGAAGAAAUAACAUCAAACGAAGUGUGCCCUAAUCUAUUAUGCCAAAUUUCAAAUGAUGCUUUGCUAGAAACUCCAGAAAGUGCAACCAAAGCUGUUGGGCCAUCUUUUAGAACAUAUAAACCAUCUUCACACUUUCCUUGUGCUAUCACUUGUUUGCUUGCCCUGUCCUGAAUGUUAAAAAAUGAUUGAGAGAAAAGCACAUCAACGGGGUGAUCUAGAGUAAGUCUACUAAUGGAAAGUAAAUUUUUGGUUAAUUUGGGAAUAACCAAACAUCUCGUAGCAAUAAGUAUUUAGAGAUUUUAUGAGAACCCAUGUGAGAAAUAGGGAGCUUUUCUCCAUUACCAAAAGUAACUUGUAGAUUACCCGUGUAGUGUUCUGGUGCAGUGACAUUGGUAGGAGAGGAUGUCAUAUGUGCAGUAGCUCCCGAAUCAACAUACCAAUAAGGGCUUCCUUGAGUGACGUGGCACUGAGAAUGAAAGGCUUGUGCUAAAGUCGAGUCUGUGGUGGAUGCAUUUGAGGCAUAUGUGUGCAAGCUAGACAAUAGGAGGCAUAAUGUCCAUUGUUCUGGCAAAGCUUGCAGUGAGGGAGACGCCGACCCCCUCGACCUCUUCCACCAUGACCACGGAAAGAAAAUUGUUUUCUGCCACCUCGGGUGGGUGGUGCACGGUUUUGGGUUUGAUGAGAAACAAACGCAGCAGGUGGUGUCAUGGUCCCAUGAAGAGUUUGCAGGAACAACUCGUGCCCCUCAGCCUGAGCAACAAGAUCUCGAAAAACAGGUGAUGAAUUUGUAGUACGAAUUACAGUUGAAAAAGUUUCAAAGGAGGCCCCCAAACCACAGAGGAACCUAUGAACUUUAUCCAUGGGAUCAACCGGUUGACCGAUUGCAGCAAGUUGGACACAAAAGGUUUUGAAUUUUCGACUAUAUUCAGAGACUGAGGAGGUACCUUUUGUCAUGCUUCGUAGAGAGUCACGUAACGAAUGAAUUCGUUCAACAAAUGAAUUGAUGUAAGCUUUUUCUAGAGCAGACCAUAUUGUAUAAGUUGUGGACAGACCAAUAACUUCAGUGGCGGCCUCUUCGGUGAGAGAAGAAUUAAGGAGAAUCACAGCACGUUGAUCCAAAUCGUGCCAGGUUGUGUAAUCUGGAUUUGGAUAUUUUUUGCCUUCAACCUCUAAGUUUUCCGGUGGGGCAACUGUGGUGCCAUCAAUGUGAGAAGUGAGCUUCUGAUAGGAAAACAGGGGGAGCAUUUGAUUUUUCCACAACAAGUAGUUGGUGGAGUUUAGUUUAAUUGGUAUCAUAUGGAGUAAGGUGUUCAUGGGAAAGGUAUUAUCAGUUGAGGUAGACAUGAUGAAUAAGAAGCAGAAGAAGAAGCGACAGGAGCUUAGGGUAGAAGAAAGAGGAUCGAGAAGAAGGGAGGUGUAUGUUAGGCUGAUUCCAUAUAGAAACAGAUUGAAUCAAGCACACGUUAAUAGUGUGUGAUCUUGUAUAUUUAUAAUUAAGAAUACAACAUACUCUCCUAUAAUCAUGGAGAGAUAAAGACAUAAACAAAUACAUACUAAUCAAUACAAGAUCAUUAUCUAAUACUAUUCUACAAAACAUUCUCUCUUUAACAUUUUAUCAAACACUUUAGGGAACUCCCUAACUUUUUAAACAUUUAAAUAUCUUUCCUGUACUAUAUAUCAUCUAUUUCAUUCACUAAAAAUUAAAUUAAAUAGCAAUUUGUAAGUAGGGUCAGCUUAUAUGGAGUAUGCCAUCCAUCCUCAUCCAAAUUGAAAUCCAACAUCCGUAUCUACAAGAUACAAAACAUAAUCCAGAUAUCCAAUAUAUUGAAAAAACUCCCAAAUUCCUAUUCUCAGAAGAUGUAAAUUAUUAAUAUAUUAACAAAGAAAAUGAUAAGACUUGUACCAUACAUCUAAAAUGAAGACUAGCACAUCUUAUUGGUAUUUUCAUCCUAGGUCUUGGAUGGAGAAGAAUAACCCUGAAGUCACCAUCAUCACCAAGCCCUUGUGAAAUCCAUCAAAUUACCACAAAUGAUAAAAACUGAAAAUUAAAAUUUCCUUUUUCUUCUCUCCCUAUAAAUGAAAAAUAAUAUAAUACUAAUAAAUAAUGACAACUGAAAUCGUACCUCAAUGACAUAUAUUGUCGUUUAACUGUGUUAUUGGAGCGGAAUUAAUAACUAAAACUCUAAUGGUAUAAAAAAUUUAACAUCCCUGGCAUUCAAUUGAGCAUGUAAUCAAUAAAACCACGGACAUUAGUUGGAAUCUGCAGAACUAAAAAAGACACCUCAAUCGAACAAAAAAUAAUCAUUAACUGUAAAUAAACAAGUCAGAAAAAAUAAUUUUAGGUUCGGGAGAGGACCUCCGAUUGAAUUCCAGAUUUCUUGAUUCUUCUACCUAAAGAACAGUGAAAACAAAAUAAACUGAUCUUGAGCAAAAUCGUUCAAAAUCAGUACAAAUAACAAAUUAGACCUUUUUCAGAAAGGCAAUAAAGUAAAAAAACUGAACAUGAAAUUAUGGGCGACCUGCUAUAUCUUUUCUCUGGUAAGGGCCUUUCAGAAUCAGAAACUAUGAGUGAAAUUGGUUUAAUAACGAGAUAGAAAUGGAUGAAAUAUAAAUCUCGACUACAAACGUAGCUUAAUUUUGUGGCCACUAUCAUCGGGAGCAGUAGACAUAGAAUAAAGUCAACCCUAAUAAACCCAAAAACUGAUGUUAAGAUUGAAGUGGCCGCUACUUAUGGUCAGAAGAAGGAGAAGAAAGGUUGGGCGAGAAUGAAAAAGGAGACAUCAGCUGACUGGAUUGCAUAAUCAAAACACAAGAGGUACAGUUCUAUAAUCAAACCUGCAACUCGAUGGUAGAGGAAAUAGGAAAUCGAUCCAUCAAUCGUCGGCUAUCAAUCCUGGUACCUUAAUUCAGAAAAGAAACAAAAAGAUUAAUUCCAAGUAACAUAAGAAGAAAAAAAACCUAGAGAGAUUAGCUUAUGCUUAACGAAUAAAAGAAUAACCUUGAAAACAACUUCAUUACCACAUAUUCACUUAUCGGGAUACAGUGGUGGUGUAGCGAGGAAUCCGAAAGAAUUAAUAUCGCUUGAAGUGUGUAGUGAACAUCUCAUAUUGACGGUGGCUUAGAGAGAGUGGUAGGAGGUUGUAAUGGUGGAGGCCAGAAAAAUGGUGAAUCGGCAAAGAGAAUGUUAAAGGGCUUCUUGGGGAAGGAAACGAUGGUAUGGGAAACGUAACCUACAAAAGUGAGGCGGUGGUGGAGAGCAGUGGAGUACAGAUGUCUUGAUGCUGAGUUGACAUAUGCAACCUCUUAAGUUAGUAUGGUGCGGUUCGGUGCGAUUUUUGCCCAAAAAAGAACCGAAAACCGCAACUUCGGUUUUUAAAGUUUAGAAACCGCACCGUUCGGUUUUUAUGCGGUUCGGUUUUUGCAGUUUUUUUUUCAGUUUUUUGUCAGUUUUUUAUUUGGUUUUUGUUUUGCCUUUUUACUAAAACUCAGGUAACUCAACGAGUUACUUUGACUCGAAUGAGAAGUCUUAAUCAUUUUUUGAGAAACUUUAUGUAGAGAUGAGUAGUGCCAAAAUUUUCAUCCCCACCAAUCUGCGACUCCUUAAAGAUGUGAGUUAAAAGCUAUAAACUUGACUCUCUUAUAUGAAAUGUGAGAAUGGUGAAUGUUUUAUCUCAAAUGCGAUGAGGGAUACUCUUAUAAGGUUGGAAAACUAAAGCCCAAAUGAUAUCUUGGAGAUGAACCAAUACCACCACCUCUUGGUUUGAAAUCAAAUAACAUAACCACUAAUCCAAUAUGCUUCUAAUGCUUGAAUAUAAUACGAAUUAAAUAUAAUAUUUGUUUCACAGGUAUAUACGAUAAUAGAAAUUAAUGUAUU